rnacentral:snRNA from 1 species
AUACCUGUCCAAAACAGAACGA